rnacentral:rRNA from 1 species
UACGAAGGGGGCUAGCGUUGUUCGGAAUUACUGGGCGUAAAGCGUGCGCAGGCGGCUUCUCAAGUCAGGGGUGAAAGCCCAGAGCUCAACUCUGGAAUUGCCUUUGAGACUGAGUGGCUUGAGUACGAGAGAGGUGAGUGGAAUUCCCAGUGUAGAGGCGAAAUUCGUAGAUAUUGGGAAGAACACCGGUGGCGAAGGCGGCUCACUGGCUCGUAACUGACGCUCAUGCACGACAGCGUGGGGAUCAAACAGG